GAGUGAUGGUGUGAUCUGGAGAUGGGGAGGUAUGCUUGUAGCUCUGAUGUAACAUGUAUGGUCUUCCAAUUUGAGGUGGGCUGUAAUGACUCGUCAGCUUGGGUAAACUCUACUCGCGCUACCUCAAUAGUACUCCUCUUGAGGAAUGCCCAUCCGUGUUAGCUGAUUGUGACACAUUUAUUUGCCCAGAAGUUUUGGUGCAUAUUGCUUUCUCCAAAGGGUCGCAUUGUUAAUGUAUGUUUUCAAGUUAAGUUGUCUUAUCUGAGAAUUUGUUCUUUUUUUCCCUACUUGUUGGCUAAGUUUUC
rnacentral:misc_RNA from 1 species